GAUGAACGCUGGCGGCGUGCCUAAUACAUGCAAGUCGAGCGAACAGAUGAGGAGCUUGCUCCUCUGACGUUAGCGGCGGACGGGUGAGUAACACGUGGAUAACCUACCUAUAAGACUGGGAUAACUUCGGGAAACCGUAGCUAAUACCGGAUAAUAUAUUGAACCGCAUGGUUCAAUAGUGAAAGACGGUUUUGCUGUCACUUAUAGAUGGAUCCGCGCCGCAUUAGCUAGUUGGUAAGGUAACGGCUUACCAAGGCAACGAUGCGUAGCUGACCUGAGAGGGUGAUCGGCCACACUGGAACUGAGGCACGGUCCAGACUCCGACGGGAGGCAGCAGUAGGGAAUCUUCCGCAAUGGGCGAAAGCCUGACGAAACAACGCCGCGUGAGUAAUGAAGGUCUUCGGAUCGUAAAACUCUGUUAUUAGGGAAGAACAACUGUGUAAGUAACUAUGCACGUCUUGACGGUACCUAAUCAGAAAGCCACGGCUAACUACGUG
rnacentral:rRNA from 1 species